GAUCAUGGCUCAGGAUGAACGCUAGCUACAGGCUUAACACAUGCAAGUCGAGGGGCAGCAUAAACUUAGCUUGCUAAGUUUGAUGGCUACCGGCGCACGGGUGAGUAACACGUAUCCAACCUUCCGUUUACUCAGGGAUAGCCUUUCGAAAGAAAGAUUAAUACCUGAUAGUAUGGUGAGAUUGCAUGAUAGCACCAUUAAAGAUUUAUUGGUAAACGAUGGGGAUGCGUUCCA
rnacentral:rRNA from 1 species